rnacentral:rRNA from 1 species
UACGAAGGGUCCAAGCGUUGUUCGGAAUCAUUGGGCGUAAAGCGCGCGCAGGCGGAUCAGUAAGUCAGGUGUGAAAUCUCGAAGCUCAACUUCGAAAUUGCGCCUGAAACUACUAGUCUAGAGUGUCGGAGGGGGCAGGGGAAUUUCACGUGUAGGGGUAAAAUCCGUAGAGAUGUGAAGGAACACCGGAGGCGAAGGCGCCUGCCUGGACGACUACUGACGCUGAGGCGCGAAAGCCAGGGGAGCGAACGGG